rnacentral:rRNA from 1 species
GGUUAAGCGACUAAGCGUACACGGUGGAUGCCCUGGCAGUCAGAGGCGAUGAAGGACGUGCUAAUCUGCGAAAAGCGUCGGUAAGGUGAUAUGAACCGUUACAGCCGGCGAUGUCCGAAUGGGGAAACCCAGUGCAAUUCGUUGCACUAUCGUUUGAUGAAUACAUAGUCAAACGAGGCGAACCGGGGGAACUGAAACAUCUAAGUACCCCGAGGAAAAGAAAUCAACCGAGAUUCCCCCAGUAGCGGCGAGCGAACGGGGAGCAGCCCGGAGUCUGAAUCAGCUUGUGUGUUAGUGGAAGCGUCUGGAAAGUCGCAGGGUACAGGGUGAUACUCCCGUACACUAAAACGCACAGGCUGUGAACUCGAAGAGUAGGGCGGGACACGUGGUAUCCUGUCUGAAUAUGGGGGGACCAUCCUCCAAGGCUAAAUACUCCUGACUGACCGAUAGUGAACCAGUACCGUGAGGGAAAGGCGAAAAGAACCCCGGCGAGGGGAGUGAAAAAGAACCUGAAACCGUGUACGUACAAGCAGUAGGAGCCCACUUGUUGGGUGACUGCGUACCUUUUGUAUAAUGGGUCAGCGACUUAUAUUCUGUAGCAAGGUUAACCGUAUAGGGGAGCCGCAGGGAAACCGAGUCUUAACUGGGCGUUAAGUUGCAGGGUAUAGACCCGAAACCCGGUGAUCUAGCCAUGGGCAGGUUGAAGGUUGGGUAACACUAACUGGAGGACCGAACCGACUAAUGUUGAAAAAUUAGCGGAUGACUUGUGGCUGGGGGUGAAAGGCCAAUCAAACCGGGAGAUAGCUGGUUCUCCCCGAAAGCUAUUUAGGUAGCGCCUCGUGAACUCAUCUUCGGGGGUAGAGCACUGUUUCGGCUAGGGGGUCAUCCCGACUUACCAACCCGAUGCAAACUACGAAUACCGAAGAAUGUUAUCACGGGAGACACACGGCGGGUGCUAACGUCCGUCGUGAAGAGGGAAACAACCCAGACCGCCAGCUAAGGUCCCAAAGUCAUGGUUAAGUGGGAAACGAUGUGGGAAGGCCCAGACAGCCAGGAUGUUGGCUUAGAAGCAGCCAUCAUUUAAAGAAAGCGUAAUAGCUCACUGGUCGAGUCGGCCUGCGCGGAAGAUGUAACGGGGCUAAACCAUGCACCGAAGCUGCGGCAGCGACGCUUAUGCGUUGUUGGGUAGGGGAGCGUUCUGUAAGCCGUUGAAGGUGGCCUGUGAGGGUUGCUGGAGGUAUCAGAAGUGCGAAUGCUGACAUAAGUAACGAUAAUGCGGGUGAAAAACCCGCACGCCGGAAGACCAAGGGUUCCUGUCCAACGUUAAUCGGGGCAGGGUGAGUCGACCCCUAAGGCGAGGCCGAAAGGCGUAGUCGAUGGGAAACAGGUUAAUAUUCCUGUACUUGGUGUUACUGCGAAGGGGGGACGGAGAAGGCUAUGUUGGCCGGGCGACGGUUGUCCCGGUUUAAGCAUGUAGGCGGAUGUUCCAGGUAAAUCCGGAACGUUAUUAACGCUGAGGUGUGAUGACGAGGCACUACGGUGCUGAAGUGACAAAUGCCCUGCUUCCAGGAAAAGCCUCUAAGCAUCAGGUAACAUCAAAUCGUACCCCAAACCGACACAGGUGGUCAGGUAGAGAAUACCAAGGCGCUUGAGAGAACUCGGGUGAAGGAACUAGGCAAAAUGGUGCCGUAACUUCGGGAGAAGGCACGCUGAUACGUAGGUGAAGUGAUUUACUCAUGGAGCUGAAAUCAGUCGAAGAUACCAGCUGGCUGCAACUGUUUAUUAAAAACACAGCACUGUGCAAACACGAAAGUGGACGUAUACGGUGUGACGCCUGCCCGGUGCCGGAAGGUUAAUUGAUGGGGUUAUCCGUAAGGAGAAGCUCUUGAUCGAAGCCCCGGUAAACGGCGGCCGUAACUAUAACGGUCCUAAGGUAGCGAAAUUCCUUGUCGGGUAAGUUCCGACCUGCACGAAUGGCGUAAUGAUGGCCAGGCUGUCUCCACCCGAGACUCAGUGAAAUUGAACUCGCUGUGAAGAUGCAGUGUACCCGCGGCAAGACGGAAAGACCCCGUGAACCUUUACUAUAGCUUGACACUGAACACUGGUCCUUGAUGUGUAGGAUAGGUGGGAGGCUUUGAAGUGUGGACGCCAGUCUGCAUGGAGCCAUCCUUGAAAUACCACCCUUUAAUGGCUGGUGUUCUAACGUGGGCCCGUAAUCCGGGUUGCGGACAGUGUCUGGUGGGUAGUUUGACUGGGGCGGUCUCCUCCUAAAGAGUAACGGAGGAGCACGAAGGUCAGCUAAUCCUGGUCGGACAUCAGGAGGUUAGUGCAAUGGCAUAAGCUGGCUUGACUGCGAGCGUGACGGCGCGAGCAGGUGCGAAAGCAGGUCAUAGUGAUCCGGUGGUUCUGAAUGGAAGGGCCAUCGCUCAACGGGAAAAGGUACUCCGGGGAUAACAGGCUGAUACCGCCCAAGAGUUCAUAUCGACGGCGGUGUUUGGCACCUCGAUGUCGGCUCAUCACAUCCUGGGGCUGAAGUAGGUCCCAAGGGUAUGGCUGUUCGCCAUUUAAAGUGGUACGCGAGCUGGGUUUAGAACGUCGUGAGACAGUUCGGUCCCUAUCUGCCGUGGGCGCUGGAGAAUUGAGGGGGGCUGCUCCUAGUACGAGAGGACCGGAGUGGACGCAUCACUGGUGUUCGGGUUGUCAUGCCAAUGGCAUUGCCCGGUAGCUAAAUGCGGAAGAGAUAAGUGCUGAAAGCAUCUAAGUACGAAACUUGCCCCGAGAUGAGUUCUCCCUGACUCCUUGAGAGUCCUGAAGGAACGUUGAAGACGACGACGUUGAUAGGCCGGGUGUGUAAGCGCAGCGAUGCGUUGAGCUAACCGGUACUAAUGAACCGUGAGGCUUAACCUU